rnacentral:snRNA from 1 species
GUACUCUGCUUUCUCUUCAGUUCAUAUAAAUCUUUUGCCUUUUACUAAAGAUUUCUGUGGGGAGGAACAUUUAUGAGUUUGUACCCAAUUUUUUGAGGCUUUGCUUUGGCGAGGCU